UACGUAGGGGGCUAGCGUUGUCCGGAUUUAUUGGGCGUAAAGAGCGUGUAGGCGGCUGGGUAGGUCCGCUGUGAAAACUCGAGGCUCAACCUCGAGAGGUCGGUGGAAACCAUCCAGCUAGAGUCCGGAAGAGGAGAAUGGAAUUCCUGGUGUAGCGGUGAAAUGCGCAGAUAUCAGGAAGAACACCCGUGGCGAAGGCGGUUCUCUGGGACGGUACUGACGCUGAGACGCGAAAGCGUGGGGAGCGAACAGG
rnacentral:rRNA from 1 species